GUGGGAAGGCAUGGUGGAACCUUCAAAGGUUCUCAGUUCUUGGUAGCCAGGAAACAGAGCACAGGGGAAGAGCCACAGAGGGAGGAGCCAGGGACCACGUACAGUUUCCUUAUGACCCUCCCAGACUCAUCCAGAAAUAGUCUUUACUAACACCCUUUGCAUCUCUGAAACCAAUCAAAUUAACCAUGAAAUUAUCUAUCAUGGGUCCUGUUCCCUAACAUCCUCCAGUGGGACAAUCAUAUGCACAAAGGACUCAGAAUGGAGUUAUGGCAGCAGAACUCAUGUGAGAUACACCUAGUGCCUGUAUGUGGAGAAAAGCUUGUAUAUGUUAUGUGAACUUGAAUUGGAUUGGAUCGCCUGAACUGUAGCAAUCCAGCUUCGUCUUUGGGAUAACAACUUCCAGGAUGGAAAGGAAUAAUAAUUUGGUAAGAACCUGGAUCUGUGGAUGAAUGUGUAGCCCAUCAAUACUGCCAGACAGGACAAGGUUACUGGUGGCCCAAGCUUGACAGAGAAACACUCCUUCACUGUUCAUGCCUCUUGUCACAUUGAUGCAACAGUGAAACCUUACCCUAGACUUUGCUCAAAGAAAAAAUAACUCUUGUGGAUCCAGUCACACUUACCUCCACCCACU
rnacentral:lncRNA from 1 species